GCAGCAGUAAGGAAUAUUGCGCAAUGGGCGACAGCCUGACGCAGCGACGCCGCGUGGGGGAUGAAGGUCUUCGGAUUGUAAACCCCUUUCGGCAGGGAAGAUGGAACGGGUAACCGUUCGGACGGUACCUGCAGAAGCAGCCACGGCUAACUUCGUGCCAGCAGCCGCGGUAAUACGAAGGUGGCAAGCGUUGUUCGGAUUUACUGGGCGUACAGGGAGCGUAGGCGGUUGGGUAAGCCCUCCGUGAAAUCUCCGGGCCUAACCCGGAAAGUGCGGAGGGGACUGCUCGGCUAGAGGAUGGGAGAGGAGCGCGGAAUUCCCGGUGUAGCGGUGAAAUGCGUAGAGAUCGGGAGGAAGGCCGGUGGCGAAGGCGGCGCUCUGGAACAUUUCUGACGCUGAGGCUCGAAAGCGUGGGGAGCAAACAGGAUUAGAUAC
rnacentral:rRNA from 1 species